rnacentral:lncRNA from 1 species
AUAUUUCAAUUGUGUGCCGGCGCGAGAUGGACCCCCCUGUAUACCGUUGCUGCCUUGUUAUUUCGUGGAAUGGCGAAUCGAUUUCUGACAUUAACUUUGGUGAUUUUGAAAGCAAUAACCAUCUAGAAGGACGCCGUUGGUGCGUGAUGACUGCUAGACCGUCGUUUACCGUCAAGUAGUACGGGAUCGGCCAACGAAUUCCCUUCGUUCUCCACUGCAGGCCUGUCCUCCUCCUGUUUGAGCUGCUUGUAAUUCAUCAUCGUGCGUCUGAACAUCUUCCAAGUUGGCCCACCAUCACAUCCACACAAGACACACAGCAGAGGAGACAGAAACACAAUGUCCUUUUUGAUAUCUCCUUCCAGCAACGGCCGUCUAGAGCAGCUCUCGAAAAUGUCAAGAGAGACGCGGGCUGGAGGAUGAACGUCCAGAUGAAAAAAAGAAGUGACAUAUCACAUCCAUGUGGGACGAGAGCGCAGCAUUGAAAGUCACCACACCAUUCUCACUGGACCACAAAAGCCUUAUAGACAUAUCAAACUCGAUUAACCAAGAUGGAUUGACCCCGAAGCACAUCUCAAACAACGUCUCGUUUCUUUUUCUUUUUCUUUUCUUUCUUUCUUAGAUUGCCUUACAUGGUUUAGGUGUAUCUAUCUUCUAGCCAAGUUGAGACUGUCUCUCACACGACCGAUGGACCGGACACGCUGGCUUCGGCUUGUUCCAUAAUCGUUUUUGGCCUUAUUUCUUUUGAUUCUUUAUUCCAUCUCGAUUCAUGUAGUACCGUACAGCAAUUCAAUCAGCAGCCCAUCACGAAGCCCCUCGCUCCUGGCGACUAAUCGAAAAUGUCUAUGAUAUCGACUGUGCGUAGUAGUAGUAUAGUAGAGUCCAGCAGAGAGUCUAUUAUGCCGAUAUAGAGUCUCGGUUUGUAUUCUCUUUCGGUCCCAAAAGUCUUUGCGUGCUUUGAUGAUUCCUAUAUACGGCUUAAAUAGCCUUGGUCAUACUAACUAAACGUGCUGAGGCACGAACGAGAGCCAAAAAAAAUGAUCCAUCAAAUGUCCAACAGACUUUAUAAGGAGAGUGUUAAAUCUAAAAAAAAAAAAAUAAAUAAAUAAGCAAACAGUUUUUGUUCUUUGCCUUUUCUGUAUUUUUGUUGUUGUCGAGUGACGCGAAAAUGUUUUUGUUUAGCCUCGGGUUAUUAUUCACCUACGUCCCGUGACAGGCGGAGAAAUUAUCCGCGCGACGCUCAUCGUGAAGAAUCAGGACCGGCCAUUUGUCGUCCUCCCAAUUUGUCUCUUUUUUUUCCCCAGAAGAAUCAAGGAAAACCAACAGCAACAAACGACAAAAGACGCGUCGUGUCCGUUGAGGUGUUGAAAAAGUCAUUUGGUCGUCGAUUCCACGCCGUUCUGAAAAAUCCAUAAUCCCUAAAAAGUCGACACGACCAUUAGCGAUGAGAAGGCGGAAUGGGAGGCCCAGUAUAUAAUAUAUAAGGAAUCUGUUGCUGCUGGUGGACGCAUUUUCCCCUCGUUAUUAUAGACACUGCAUUUUAUCAACAGAGAGAGAAAAAUACGGUCGACAGCCACCAGUUCACAUCAUCAGUCACGACCAAAGAGUUUUCUAUAGCUGCGAUGAUACGCCGUGGUAUUUGCCUCCGCUCUCGAUCGUCACGGCCACCGAGCGGUUCUUAUUCAUCAAAAUUCCCCAUUUCUCUUCUUUUUGAUAUUCGACCCGUCCCGGAGAAUCACACCAGACGAUAGAUAGAUGUAUAUACAACAUAUAACUAUACAGCUUGCUUGCUGUUUAUCAAUUCAUAUUCUUUCUGCCCAUUCGUGUAUUAUGCAAUCGCCCUUUUUCUCUCCCAGUCACGUCCUCCUCCCCUUUUGUGUCGGAUUCCUCCCGAUUUUUUUGCACGUGAUUUUUCUAAUUUAACGAGAUGGAAAGGAGAUUACACCUCAUUUAUAAUUAA